CCUAGCUGGUCACUGCCGAAGAACCUACACAUUUCAGUUCUUGUGAUCCUUCAGUUUGCACUGCUGCAUACCCCAGCAGCCCAAAUGUGGCAGUGCUUUUGUUUCUAUGGCAUCCUCUCCAUUAGUUGGAAAGCCCCUGAGGCCUUGGAAGACUCCAGCACACCCCACCCACGCUUGCUAUGAGUCCAGUUUCUAUGUUGUACUUAUGAGGUCAUCUCCCAGGACACUGCUGGGGCCAGCUGCAAUACAAAAGGGAAGCAAUGCACACUUAAACCAAAAAGCAAAAAAAAAAAAAGGACAUCAAUUUCAAGCCUCAAGACUGCAACUGUCAGUACAGAGCAACAGACCACAUCAGCCAUUUUUAUAAGAAAAUAUAUGAAGCUAUCAAAUACUAAGUGAUGAGCAGUUCACGGUCUGAAGCAGCUUUAUUCUGGCUCUAGCAGCCUGGAGCUGGGAGAAUGCAAUAGUUUGAAGCAGUCACCAUUGCUGGCCAGCUCUGGCUGCUCCCUUCUCUCUAAGGGGUCCAAGCAGAGGAAAAAAUCUUGGUCCACGAAGCAAGGUAUUAUACAGUAAAAUACAAGCAGCAGCAGGAACUAAGAAACCAGUGAAUCUUACCUCAACUUUAAUAUCAUUUUCCAGUUCAGCAUCUAGAAAAUCCAGUGUUACUGGCUCCUGGGAUUUAGGAUUCUGAAGCAGAAGACAUUAAAUAAUCAAAUAAUAAAGCUUGAAUAUUGUAAUGUUA